UCUCCCCUGCCUUGUUGGUGAUGAAUAGGUUGUUUUCGAGCCAACAUUAUUUAAAAGGGUGACUCCACUGGUCUUUAAGAUGGAAACUUGCUCUGCAAGAUUCCAGAUGAAGCUAUGGGUAACGCCCACCUACAUAGUUAGGUUCGGUAUUAACAACCUAUUUACACGGCUUGGUGGGGGAUUU
rnacentral:other from 1 species